ACUCCUACGGGAGGCAGCAGUGGGGAAUAUUGGACAAUGGGGGAACCCGUAGCAUCCAGCCAUGCCGCGUGUGUGAAGAAGGCCUUAUGGUUGUAAAGCACUUUAAGCGAGGAGGAGGCUACUGAGACUAAUACUCUUGGAUAGUGGACGUUACUCGCAGAAUAAGCACCGGCUAACUCUGUGCCAGCAGCCGCGGUAAUACAGAGGGUGCGAGCGUUAAUCGGAUUUACUGGGCGUAAAGCGUGCGUAGGCGGCCAUUUAAGUCAAAUGUGAAAUCCCCGCGCUUAACUUGGGAAUUGGCAUUCGAUACUGGAUGGCUAGAGUAUGGGAGAGGAUGGUAGAAUUCCAGGUGUAGCGGUGAAAUGCGUAGAGAUCUGGAGGAAUACCGAUGGCGAAGGCAGCCAUCUGGCCUAAUACUGACGCUGAGGUACGAAAGCAUGGGGAGCAAACAGGAUUAGAUACCCUGGUAGACAUCA
rnacentral:rRNA from 1 species